CUCGUAGGCGGUUUGUCGCGUCGGGAGUGAAAACCUACAGCUUAACUGUGGGCUUGCUUUCGAUACGGGCAGACUAGAGGUAUGCAGGGGAGAACGGAAUUCCUGGUGUAGCGGUGAAAUGCGCAGAUAUCAGGAGGAACACCGGUGGCGAAGGCGGUUCUCUGGGCAUGAUCUGACGCUGAGGAGCGAAAGUGUGGGGAGCGAACA
rnacentral:rRNA from 1 species